rnacentral:rRNA from 1 species
CACGUAGGGCGCAAGCGUUGUCCGGAAUUAUUGGGCGUAAAGGGCUCGUAGGCGGUUUGUCGCGUCGGGAGUGAAAACACACAGCUUAACUGUGUGCUUGCUUCCGAUACGGGCAGACUAGAGGUAUGCAGGGGGAGAACGGAAUUCCUGGUGUAGCGGUGAAAUGCGCAGAUAUCAGGAGGAACACCGGUGGCGAAGGCGGUUCUCUGGGCACUACCUGACGGCUGAGGAGCGAAAGUGUGGGGAGCGAACAGG